rnacentral:rRNA from 1 species
UAUUUGAUACGUUUUCUAGAUGGGUUUGUAGCUUGGCUUCCUUUCCGGAAGUUAUGUGCACGCCUGUCUGGACUUCAUUUUCAUCCACCUUGUGCACCUUUUGUAGUCUUUUUCAGGUAUUGGAGGAAGUGGUCAGCCUAUCAGCUCUUUGCUGGAUGUAAGGACUUGCAGUGUGAAAACAGUGCUGUCCUUUACCUUGGCCAUGGAAUCUUUUUCCUGUUAGAGUCUAUGUUAUUCAUUAUACUCUUAGAAUGUCAUUGAAUGUCUUUACAUGGGCUAUGCCUAUGAAAAUUAUUAUACAACUUUCAGCAACGGAUCUCUUGGCUCUCGCAUCGAUGAAGAACGCAGCGAAAUGCGAUAAGUAAUGUGAAUUGCAGAAUUCAGUGAAUCAUCGAAUCUUUGAACGCAUCUUGCGCUCCUUGGUAUUCCGAGGAGCAUGCCUGUUUGAGUGUCAUUAUAUUCUCAACUCUCCAAUACUUUGUUGUAAAGGAGAGCUUGGAUUGUGGAGGUUUGCUGGCUCCUUACUUGGGGUCAGCUCCUCUGAAAUGCAUUAGCGGAAUCGUCUGCGAUCUGCCACAAGUGUGAUAACUUAUCUACACUGGCGAGGGGAUUGCUUUCUGAUGUUCAGCUUCUAAUCGUCUAAGGACAAUUUCUUGAAUGCUUGACCUCAAAUCAGGUAGGACUACCCGCUGAACUUAAGCUUUAAA